AAUCCUAAAGAUUUGAACUUUAGUCUAAAGGUCCUCCCACUAUUUUAUAGGAAUGGAUAGCCUCUACCUCCAAUUCAAAGAAUUACCUUAAUUCCAUAGCGGAUACUAAAAUCCACACAGACUACAUAUAGGUCCGAAGAUGGCUUGAUCAACCUAUAUGCACCUAUGAAUAGGUUUUCAAUCAAUUAUUUCUUCAAACAACUUCUAGUAUUUAAUUUAGCCCC
rnacentral:lncRNA from 1 species